GGGCCCGCACAAGCGGCGGAGCAUGCGGAUUAAUUCGAUGCAACGCGAAGAACCUUACCUGGGUUUGACAUGUUCGGUAAUCCGGCAGAGAUGUCGGGUCCUUCGGGGCCGUUCACAGGUGGUGCAUGGCUGUCGUCAGCUCGUGUCGUGAGAUGUUGGGUUAAGUCCCGCAACGAGCGCAACCCUUGUUCGAUGUUGCCAGCGGUUCGGCCGGGGACUCAUCGAAGACUGCCGGGGUCAACUCGGAGGAAGGUGGGGAUGACGUCAAGUCAUCAUGCCCCUUAUGUCCAGGGCUUCACGCAUGCUACAAUGGCCGGUACAAAGGGCUGCGAUACCGUGAGGUGGAGCGAAUCCCAAAAAGCCGGUCUCAGUUCGGAUCGGGGUCUGCAACUCGACCCCGUGAAGUCGGAGUCGCUAGUAAUCGCAGAUCAGCAAUGCUGCGGUGAAUACGUUCCCGGGCCUU
rnacentral:rRNA from 1 species